UUUGGAGGGCAAGUCUGGUGCCAGCAGCCGCGGUAAUUCCAGCUCCAAUAGCGUAUAUUAAAGUUGUUGCAGUUAAAAAGCUCGUAGUUGAAUUUCGGGAUCAAUAUUUCGGUCAUGCCGUUGGUAUGCACUGUUAUCAUUGAUUUCUCACCUUCUAAAGAACCGUAAUGCCAUUAAUUUGGUGUUACGGGGAAUUAGGACUGUUACCUUGAAAAAAUUAGAGUGUUUAAAGCAGGACAAC
rnacentral:rRNA from 1 species